CUGGGGCCUGGCCGUCAUCGAGAAUGUGGGUGACACGGUGAGACGUCCUGUGUCACAGCAGCUCCAAACCUGACCCCGUGCUGAGGCCUUCACACGCGUGAUCCCGUCUCUCGGGCACAGCUAAUCCCGGGAAGCGCGCAUCGCCAGUCCCACGUUACGGACGAGCCAGCCGAGCCCCGGGGAGCUGAAGGAGCUGCCCGAUGCCACAGAGCUCCCACGAAAUAGGACCAGUGUUUCGAGUGCCAGCCCCAGGGCGUCACACUGGGGGCGGGCCUGGGAUUGCCUGGCUCACUGUCCGCUGCGUUCCUGAAAUACUCCAGCCUGAUUUAUUUUUCCAGCUGCCAUAAAAAGGAAUGUGUGGCCAGUGAGGUUGGUGAGGGAACUCCAGUCUGCACUGGAAGAGAGGUCUCCACUGGAAUGCCACCAGGCUGCGUCCUCGAGGCAGACCUGAUACCAAGCUGGAGUGGGCCCCGCUGGGAGCAGCAGAGUGACCCAACGGCCCUCUACAUGGCUGAAUUCAAGUCCCACGUGUGGGCUGGAAAGCGCACUGCGCACAUGUAGGAGCUGCCUUCGCUAGGCAGCACCCAUGAAAAGCUCUGAGGCUCUCGGUGGCCCCCACAAGCACCACCGGCCUUGAGUCUCCAGGCCCAGGUUAAGACACUAAGAAGGUCCUCCUGCCGGUGGAGUCCAGUUUGAACAGACCAGAUGACCCCUGGAAGAGGGGAGCUGCUCGGCACAACAGGAGGUGGGGCUGCAGCAGAGGCAAACCCAGCCACACGGGCUUGCAUCCGCGUCCCCCGCCUCCUCACCAGCACUGGGUGUGGCUGCAUUUCCCGCCCCGGCUCCCGGGGUCGCCCCCUCCUCCGCGGUGUGCGUGUCCUCUCCGUGUGUGCUCGCCGCUGAGCUUCAUCGUCCCGGUGCAGGCCCCGAGGGGGACAUUGUCCCCUCCACCUCGUCUCGGGUCCUUCUCAGGGCAGUGCUCUCAACUGUCAGGACUUCCAGCUGGUUCAGCUCUCCUUUCAGGGCUUGUGCGGGACAGGCUGUCUGGCCCACGAGCCCCAGGAUGUCUUCUUCUUUCUCCUGCAAGUUUUAUGGUUUUAUGUUUGUGUGUGAAUCGGUGAGCCAUUCUGAGUUCAUUUUUGUAGAAAAUAUGAUACUUCGAACAAAGGUUCCGAUUUUUUGGCCUGUAGAAGCCAGAGCCUGAAUUUCCCCAACCUCCCCUCCAAUGAUACAUACUUUAUCCACUUCUAUUCAUUAUUCAAAUAUUUGCUGCUGCCCACUGGGUGCCCAGUGCCAUGGGGUCCUGGGGCCCACAGGUGAGUGUGUGAGACCCCAGCUGCCCUCCAGAGCCCACUGUCGGGCCUCAACUGGCCACAGCCUGACCCUCCC
rnacentral:lncRNA from 1 species